rnacentral:tRNA from 2 species
GGCUACGUAGCUCAGAUGGUUAGAGCGUGGCACUCAUAAUGCCAAGGUCGGUGGUUCGAUUCCACCCGUAGCUACCA